rnacentral:RNase_P_RNA from 1 species
CGAGCCGAGCGGGCGGUCGCGGGUUGUGUACAUACACGACGCGAGGAACGUCCGGACUCCACAGAGCAGGGUGGUUGUUAACGGCAACCCAGGGUGACCUGCGGGAAAGUGCCACAGAAAACAGACCGCCCCCGGCUUCGGCCGGUGGUAAGGGUGAAACGGUGGUGUAAGAGACCACCAGCGGCGAGGGUGACUUCAUCGGCUUGGUAAACCCCACCCGGAGCAAGAUCGAAAGGCGGCGUGUCUUCGGAUAUGCUGCUGUGCAGGCGAUUGAGGGCUGCUCGCCCGAGUCUGCGGGUAGAUCGCUAGAGGCUGUCGGCAACGGCAGGCGUAGAUGGAUGGCCGCCCAUCGGGACCGCCGCAAGGCACCCGGGGACAGAAUCCGGCGUAAAGCUCGACUCGUCCG